AAAACUUUCGCAGUCCGGACACCGGUAGGAUUGACAGAUCGAUAGCUCUUUCUCGAUUCGGUGGGUGGUGGUGCAUGGCCGUUCUUAGUUGGUGGAGCGAUCCGUCUGGUUGAUUCCGAUAACGAACGAGACUCCGGCCUGCUAACUAGCGCGUCGAUUAGUGCUUUUCCGGUAGCGAGGCGGCGCCGAAACCGUCGUCGGUUGAUCUGCGCGCGGCCCGGGCUUGCCGUUGCUGCCGCUCUCCUUCGAUCAACAAGAAACGGUAAUUUAAAAACAUGGGACUUAAAAUAGCUUUGGCAAAAUGUACUGUCUCUG
rfam:Octopus bimaculoides Scaffold86632_contig_5, whole genome shotgun sequence.